GGAGGUUACUGCUAUCGGUGUUCGCCUAACCCAUGCGAGUCUUAUGUUCUUCGUGAACAUGGCGUACUGCUCAGUAACACGUGAAUAACCUGCCCUUGGGACCGGCAUAACCCCGGGAAACUGGGGAUAAUUCCGGAUACCGCAUAUAUGCUGGAAUGCUUUAUGCGUGAAAUGGAUUCGUCUGCCCAAGGAUGGGUCUGCGGCCUAUCAGGUAGUAGUGGGUGUAAUGUACCUACUACCCUACAACGGGUACGGGUUGUGAAAGCAAGAGCCCGGAAAUGGAUUCUGAAACAUGAAUCCAGGCCCUACGGGGCGCACCAGGCGCGAAAACUUUACAAUGCGGGAAACCGUGAUAAGGGGACACCGAGUGCCACCAACAUUUGUUGGCUGUCCAGGUGUGUAAACUACACCUGUUAGCAAGGGCCGGGCAAGACCGGUGCCAGC
rnacentral:rRNA from 1 species